CACGGGGGGAGCAAGCGUUGUUCGGAAUCACUGGGCGUAAAGGGUGUCUAGGCGGUCAGGUAAGUGAGAUGUGAAAUGCCCCGGCUUACCCGGGGACCUGCAUCUCAUACUGCCUGGCUUGAGUAUGGGAGAGGAUGAGGGAAUUCCUGGUGUAGCGGUGAAAUGCGUAGAUAUCAGGAGGAACACCGGUGGCGAAGGCGGCAUCCUGGACCGACACUGACGCUGAGGAGCGAAAGCCAGGGGAGCAAACGGG
rnacentral:rRNA from 1 species